GAUGAACGCUGGCGGCGUGCUUAACACAUGCAAGUCGAACGAUGAAGCCCAUCUUGCUGGGUGGAUUAGUGGCGAACGGGUGAGUAACACGUUAGUAACCUGCCCUUAACUCUGGGAUAAGCCUGGGAAACUGGGUCUAAUACCGGAUAGGAGCGCCUACCGCAUGGUGGGUGUUGGAAAGAUUUAUCGGUUUUGGAUGGACUCGCGUCCUAUCAUCUUGUUGGUGAGGUAAUGGCUCACCAAGGCGACGACGGGUAGCCGGCCUGAGAGGGUGACCGGCCACACUGGGACUGAGACACGGCCCAGACUCAUACGGGAGGAAGCAGUGGGGAAAAUUGCACAAUGGGCGAAAGCCUAAUGCAGAGACGCCGCGUGAGGGAUGACGGCAUUCGGGUUGUAAACCUCUAUAAGUAGGGAAGAAGCGAAAGUGACGGUACCUGCAGAAGAAGCACCGGCUAACUACGUG
rnacentral:rRNA from 1 species